CAUUGAUCUGGGUUGUACCAGGUCACUUUCUUUACUUAUUCUUUGUUUGUUUCAUCUUUUCUUAUAUUUUUAUUUCUUUUCCUAUUUUUAUUAAGUUAGAAAAUCACAUCUCACAAUUAUGAAGAUUUGGGGAAAAGCACGUAUGUUUGCUUCUGGAUAUUUCAUUCAUACACAGAUCCAGAAAUUGUGGUGAGGGUUCUUUCUGAAGACUGUGUCUGACGUUUGUCAGAUGCUCAGUAGAUGAGCUUAUUAUACUCAAUUCUGGAGAACUGGAUGCUGCAAACCAGGAGGUGCUGUGAUGUCCACCACCCAGAUCCCCCUCCAGGAAUGAAACACUUAUUCCCCAUCCCCCACCUCCGAGUUGUUGGAAGUGCAACUGGAAGACAGCUCUCAGCCAUCGUGCCCUCUUUGGGGAUGCCUCUGCUGAAGCAAAGUGGCUCUCCCAAAGUUACGUCUCCUUCCGAGGGCUGACUGGUCCCUGUGGUGGUAGAGAGGCUCCAUUCCCUACCCCAAAUGGAGACAACUCUGAAGGGUCAUCCCUGACCUUCAGAACUUCCCAUGGGGUUGACUUAGUACUGGAUCACAGCUCAAAUUCUCCCUCUGCCUAAUUCUGCUUCCUUUCUCUCUUUUUGUAAGUGUUGCCUCUAAUAGUAAGCCCUGAUAAAUGUCCUGCAUGUUAACAUCUGUCUCAAAUCUACUUCCUGGGGCAUCCAACGUGUAAUAGCUGGUACCAGAGAAGAUAGGAGAAGACAGUCACCGGGAUGGGAGUCUGGGUCUAGAUCACAUGCUGUCUGGUGGUAAUGAGGACCCUACCACUGGUGGUAGGUGGAGCACAGAUAGCCCCUGGCUCAAUGUGGCAGCACAAUUGUUAAAACUCUUACUGGUGGUGAACUGGGAUGAUACACACGGGUGGAAAACAAUGUGAUAGCUCAUGUAGUAUAUUAGGCUUUUGAGAAAUAUGGGGGAAAUGGUAACUUUAAGGAGAGUGGAACUUGGUGGCUGUAACUAAACUCCACUCUGGAAAAAGAACCAAAAUCUGGGA
rnacentral:lncRNA from 1 species